GAUGAACGCUGGCGGCGUGCUUAACACAUGCAAGUCGAACGGUGAAGCAGAGCUUGCUCUGUGGAUCAGUGGCGAACGGGUGAGUAACACGUGAGCAACCUGCCCCUGACUCUGGGAUAAGCGCUGGAAACGGCGUCUAAUACUGGAUAUGAGCUGCGACCGCAUGGUCAGCAGUUGGAAAGAUUUUUCGGUCUGGGAUGGGCUCACGGCCUAUCAGCUUGUUGGUGAGGUAAUGGCUCACCAAGGCGUCGACGGGUAGCCGGCCUGAGAGGGUGACCGGCCACACUGGGACUGAGACACGGCCCAGACUCCUACGGGAGGCAGCAGUGGGGAAUAUUGCACAAUGGGCGAAAGCCUGAUGCAGCAACGCCGCGUGAGGGAUGACGGCCUUCGGGUUGUAAACCUCUUUUAGCAGGGAAGGAGCGAAAGUGACGGUACCUGCAGAAAAAGCGCCGGCUAACUACGUG
rnacentral:rRNA from 1 species